GAUGAACGCUGGCGGCGUGCCUAAUACAUGCAAGUCGAGCGAACGGACGAUACGCUUGCUUCUCUGAUGUUAGCCGCGGACGGGUGAGUAACACGUGUAUCACCUACCUAUAAUACUGGGAUAACUUCGGGACACCGUAGCUAAUACCGUAUGAUCUUUUGAACCGCAUGGUUCAAAAGUGAAAUACGGUCUUGCUGUCUCUUAUAGAUGGUUCCGCGCUGCAUUAGCUAGUUGUUACGGUAACGGCUUACCAAGGCAACGAUGCAUAGCCGACCUGAGAGGGUGAUAGGCCACACUGGAACUGGGACACGGUCCUGACUCCUACGAGAGGGAGCAGUAGGGAAUCUUCCGCAGUGGGCGAAAGCAUGACGGAGCAACGCCGCGUGAGUGAUGAAGGUCUUCGGAUCGUAAAAAUCUGUUAUUAGGGAAGAACAUAUGUGUACGUAAAUGUGCACAGCUUGACGGUACCUAAUCAGAAAGCAACGGCUAACUACGUG
rnacentral:rRNA from 1 species